UUUCUUUCUGAUGAAACAUAGAAUCAUUAAGGUUUGGAAAAGACCAUUCAGUCCAACUGUCAAUGGAAUCUGGCAGUGAGAGGAAAGGAAGCCCUACAGACUUUCAUUCUUUGCUUGUUUGGUUCCAAAUAGGACUAGGAUGUCCUCAACGACAAAAACGGACAACUGGAAGCUGUCGCUCUUGGCCGUAGAGAGGGACUCCAUUGAAAUAGCACCUAUUUUCCAUUCUGAGACAUUCUUCUGCUUUCAAGGUACUUCUGGCUGCUGUUAUCUCCACAUCUUGUGAAUUGCCUUGGCUGGGGAAGUCCAGCUGUUUCUAGUUUGCACAGGAAGGGAGCAUAAUACACAGAUUCAGCAGGCUUAAUAUUUUACCUCCCGGCGUAAUUGUUAGACUGAAGCAUCUUGUCAUGAGUUGAAAGAUGGUAGAGUACCUUUCUCUGUUAACUGUAUAGAUUUACUUGUGCACAAAUGUCUUCUGUACAUUCACGUACUGCAUUUAUCCAGUGCCUUCUUGGGCCCGUAAGCUGCUUUUAUUCCCCGAGGGCAGCACGCAUGUGCUUCUCAAAUAACACAAAACUGAAGGCUAUUGUAUAGAGGCUCGUGGAAAGGAAAGCUGAUCUUUAACCUAUGCAUUCCCAAGUUAUGUAGCAAAAUAUAGACUGAAACUCUUGAACGGUUACACUUUUAAGCUUAUUUACUUAACAUUCAUGCACUUUGACUCUAUCUUUUGUUUGUAAAUUAAAUCUGAUUUCCCCGUGUUCUACAAUAGCUCUCAGUUUUAUUUUUCCUGGCAGAAAAUCUUUUUCCGUCUGUCCUUCAGUUAGUCAAAGGUAGGAGUCUCUCCCUGAGAGAGAGAUUAGUUUGUCUCAUUGGAAUUUUGUACUGCAGGAUGACAGUCUUCCCUGGCACACAGUAAGCUCACCACAAUCCGCAGUAUACAUGAAAUCAUAAUCAAAGACAGAUGCCUUUCCCUGUUAUAAAUAAUCAUUGCUGCUUGCAUAGACCAGAAAAGAUCCUUGUUUAGACUGCUCUUUCUUUCUUGGAGCUCUGUAUUUCCCUUGGCCUUCCCUUUUUUUCAUCUUUUCUGUCUCUAAUUCUAGAUAUUUGCCUAAGGAAAUAAAAGGAAUGGGGAAAGUAGAUCUUGGCACUCUCUUAAUUCUCAGAGGAUUACCCUAUGGAGUGAAAUUAAAUACACAUGACAUAUAAAAGGGAAUGGCCUCCUAAUUUAUAGCAAAAAUCCCAGUUCACAAUAAAUCCGUUCUUUCCUGUUUGUUCGUGUGUAUGAUGAGAACAUGUCAUAUGCUUCUGAGAUGCUGUUAUAAAAGCUUUGUUCUGUUGUAGGAUUAACUUUUCUGAAUAGGUGAAUGGUUUUAUGUAAAUAUCAAAUAGCAAUCGUGGAUGUUUUUAAAUUGGUUAUCAAAUUUACUUGCAUUUCAGCAAAGCCCAGUUCAGUGUCGUCUAUUUUAGCAGCUUCUUAUAAAUUACAAAUUGUCCUCAGGUAGUUGUGAGAUAUCUGAGAUGUCGGGACUCCAGCAGGAAAGCUUCUUGGAUGAUAUUUUCACAUGACUUGUAGAAAAAUUCUGCCUGAAGUAGAUGCUACUAAGAACUUCUAACCUUGAUGUCUGGCCUUGUAGGAAAGGCACAAAUCAACCUAUUUGCAGAGUGAUUCUGUUUCAUGUCAAUAUAGGAUAAUUGUAAACAGAAACCCAAGCAGCGGUGAUUUCAUCCUGUUACACAACCAGGAGGCCUGGCCUAACAUCGCUCCUCAAGUAGCCAGCUUGUCUGUAUAGGAACUCUGGAAUGCGUUUAUGGUCUAUAGCUUAAUUGUAUCUCAUUUGAUGGAAGAACUGGAUGGAAAAGCAAGGCAUUAGUGUCUUCCAAUUAGUUGGGAUUUUAGACAAUAGAACAUUGAUUCCAUGCUAACUUUCAUGUUUAUUACUGACUUCACUGCUGUGAAAUCAGAUUGUCAUGGUUAAGGAAGAGUGACCCCGUUUACCCCUGACCCACUUGAGCAGCCUCAUGAGGACAGCAGUAAAGGAAGUUUUCCUGGAGUCUUGGCUGUCCUGUGGGUUUCAUUAGAUUUUCAUGAAGCCUCUUCAAUCUGGUCUGUGGUUUUCUUUUCAAGUAGCAUGUUGCUGAGCUAGGCUAGCUCUGAUGGUGCUGGGAGAGUUAAAUCACCACCAAACUUUCAAGGCUUUAGACGGGAAGCAUGGUUUGACUCCCCAUGAAUGAUGUACUUGGCACAAAAAUCCAGUUUGGUAACAGUUUGCUUGGAGCAAACAUGGAAUCUGUUUCCAGUCCUUUUUAUUCUUUUUUUUUCAGCCUCCACCAACAAAAUAUUUUUUGGUAGAGUAUAUAAUAAAAUGUAGAUAUUUUUGAUGUAUUAUAUAUUAUAGCCAUUAGUUUAAAGGUAGAAGAUAAGAGAACCCUAAUGAAGGUUCAUGAUUCCAUUGAAGAUAACCCCCUUUUUUUUUGCAGUGGUGAAUGUGUGAUGUUGGUUGCAAGUUAUCACAAUGCCAAGAAUUUCCUGGGUCAUUUAACUUCUUCAGUAUAUAUUAUAGGCAGCCAUGAAGUUAUCCUGCCAUUUAUUUUACCUCCACUAGGCAAUUCUGUGCCUCCAGAAUUUUAGUAUGUUUGUCUUGCUUGUUUCAUCUACCUAAAGACACAGCUCUGAUCUUAGUUGCUAUUUUUCACCUUCCGUGACAGUGAGAAACAUUAGUUGGCUUUUACUUGCCUCCUCUGAAAGACAAAUUUACUGUAUAUUGUAUAAUUUUAUUUGUAUAUUAUAUAAUAUACUGCAUAUUGUAUUUAUAAAUAAUAAUGUUUCCUGAACAAGCAAGAAAGUUGAUGAUGUUCUGUUUUAACACAGGUAAUUUUAACACAACACUGAAAGAUAUUAUUGUUAAUUAUUGAAUUAUUUUCUUAGGUUCUUGCCUGUGAAUCUUCUUUUACAGUCAUUACAUGAUGAGUCUAUGGGCAUUGAUUGCUCUGACAAGGUGAGGAUGUGGGAGAAGAAGACAGUCUCAGUAUCAUCACCUUCAUAAGGAGUUUGUAAGUAAUGCAGCACAGAUGAGUUGAGGGAGCUGGGAGAUGGAGAUAUCGCCUUGAAAUAUGGAGGCAGAGGUUAUUUCUUGUCAUACAGUAUGUACUGUUGCUUACUUCAAGAGUUGCUUAGCAGACUCUGCAAAGCCAGUAGUCCUAGAACGAUAUUUGAGAGUGAAUUGCAAUAGCAACAUAAGUAGUAACAGAAAAGGCUUUACCCUGAUUUUACAGGUUGUAUGCAUUUUAUUGUUUUCAGGACUGAGUCAUACUGUAAGGCCUUUUAAUAGCUGAAAGGAUGAAAAAAUAGAAAAACAGAGCAACCUCUUUGGUGUGAUUGUCUCCCAGUGUACAGACAUCUUUGCAUCUAAAUUUCAAAGGAAAUACAGCUUUUCUCUUAAAAGGAAUAAUAUUAAGAAAUAAUAUCUGUAGUUUAUAUGGCCCAUCUUCUGUUGCCCAUUCAUCAUUUCCAGCAAGGGAGAUGACUUUUAUGUUGGCAGAUGACAUUAAGCAACAAGUAACGCUCUGGACAGCAACCAGUCUCCCUCCAAUAAAAGGCAAAGGCAUGCGGUGGGAAGUGUGACAUGUGUGCUGCUGCUUAUAUCCUCUGGGCUUAGUUAAAGUAAGCAACUAGAUAAGAUUUCUUGCUUUGAUUUCCAAGUCUGCUGUUACUUUGUUCCAUCACCUUGGUCAAUUCCGUUCUGUUUACCUAGUUGUAAAAUGUGUUCCAUAAUAUUUAUUUGAUUUACGGUGAUUAAAUCUUCUGUUAUUAGUUUAGGUCCCCUUUGUUCUAGUUAUUGUGUACAUCUAUAAGUAAUCAAAGUCUCUGCUCCAGGGAAGGUAUUACCUUCAUAAAUAAUGGAGGUGGAGGCACCAAGAAAUUCUAGGAUGUGUUAUGGGAAGUUGGGCAGCUGGGAGCACAGCUAAAUAACAUGGCCUUUUUUGCAGGAAGAAGGUCAGGAAGCUUUAGGCAUUGCCCAGUGGUUCAUGAAAGAGAGUUAUGUCGCCUACGCAGAAGACCUAUACAGAAGAGGUUCUUCACCGUCACUACCAGAAGCACACACAAGAUCAUCCUGAUCCCACUCAGGUUAACUGUCUGGACAGCUGUGAGUCAAGCCUUCAAGCCACGCUGCUUUAUCUGAUUGGUCUCAGACUUGAUCUGGCACAUGAAAGGAAAUGUGAGGAAGUUUCAAGCAGGGAUCGUUUUGCAAGUCCAGAGCUGAGGGUCUUUGUGUCAUCUCUACUGUCAGAAUAACAAGAGACUGCUUCUUAACAGGCUUCAGUGUCUCUGCUAUAAGCGGAUUCAUGCACCUUCCCUGGAAUAAGACAAGGUCUUCUGAAAAUGUUCCAUCUGG
rnacentral:lncRNA from 1 species